ensembl:snRNA U1 U1 spliceosomal RNA
ACACUAACCUGGCAGGGGAGACGCCGCGGCCGCGAAGGUGGUUCCCCAGGGCGACUCGCAUCUUGCACUGUGGCUGCGCUGACCCCUGCGAUUUCCCCAAGUGUGGGAAACGCGACUGCGUAAUUUAUUGUAGUUGGGGACUGCGUUCGCGCUCUCUCCUG